ACAGCAGCAAAACACCCAUUAAAAUAUUGCAAAAUUAGAAUUCAAGCUCAAGAGCUAGUGCUUAAACCACAGUUUUCUCACCUUGAUCACCAACGUUAUGCAUUGUUGAAUUACUAGAACCAUUUUGGGAUGAACUAAUUAGCCUGCUGCAGGCCGAGUGGUUUUUCGGCGAAGCCGCCAACCGAAGUUUUUCUGGCCCCUCGAUGGGACAAGUGUUCCUUGAUUAUACAAGGUG
rnacentral:misc_RNA from 1 species